AGGCUCCGAGCUGUCAGCACAAAGCCCAACGCAGGGCUCGAACUCACAAAUCGUGAGAUCACGACCUGAACUUAUGUCAGUUGCUUAACCGACUGAGCCAUCCAAGCACCCCCCAGGAAGAUUCUUUAAAUGCAUGUACGGUUAAUUCCGUUCCUGGCAACCACUAAUCUACUUCCUGUUCCCAUCAGGUUUGCCUUUCAUGGAAAUUUCACAUAAAUGGAAUCCUACGAUAUGUGACCUCUUCCAUCUGGCCUCUUUCAACGAAGCAGACGACUUGAAGGUCCGUGUUGUGGCACGUGCUUAGCAGUAGUUCGUGCCUUUUCAUUGCCAAAUAGAACUCCACCAGGUGACGGGCCACUAUGUUGCUUCCGACGUUUGGCUUUGAGGAACAAAGCUGUUCUGAAAAUUUCACGGCAAGUCUUGGUAUGGGGGGGAUGUUGUCAUUUCUCCAGGGUAAAUUCCUAGGAGUGGAUUUGCUGGGUCCUAUGGUAAAUUUAACUUAUCACAUGACCACAUUUAACUAUCACAUGACCACACCCAAGGGUCUCUUCUGAGGCCAGCGCCCUGCAUUACUCCUGGCCUUGCCCUCUUCUUCCUUCCACGUGGCCGCAGGCCUCUUAACCCACGACCUCUCCAUACCUUGGGACCUGGGCUAAAGUGAUCCCUGCACCCAGAAAGCAACGGGUCCCCUUACCAUAGAGUCUGCUAAUGUCCCCAGUACCCACUCGCCUCUAUGAGCUCCUGAGUGAGCUAGGCGUGUACCCAUCCAGGAAAACCUUCCUUGCUGUUGGAUAUGGUCACGUGAGUAAGUCUGGCUAAUGGGGUAGAAGUAAAAGUGUCAUUUCCAAGCAGUGUCUAUCCAGGGAGGAGGUGAGACCUUCAUCGUUCCUUCUUCCUGACAGUUGGAAUGCAGAUGUAAUGUCUGGAGCUCCAGCAGUGACCUUGGAUCACAAGAUCCGCUGUGCCCAGGAUGAGGGACUGUUGGCUCCCUUCAGGAGAAAACGUCGUCCUACCCCAACAGUGGCCCCACGAGACGACCCGUAGCUCCUGACACCUUCAGACCCACCCCUGGCCACCAUCAGGCACAGAAGAAGCUACCAGAGAUCAGAGAUCACCUGGAGGGAGGAGCCACGUCCAGGGCCCCUGGGGCAGCAUUCUGGUCCUAUCCUGCCCACCAGUCCCUCAAGGACCCCCCACCCCCACCCCCAGUAUAGCAGGUCCAGGCGAAGGCCCCGCAGCGAGGUGGGCGGGCCUCACUGAGGCCCCAGUCUUGCCGGCAGUUCCCCAUGCCAGGAGGCCUCUGGGGAGCAUGUGGGGUGUCAUCCCUCUGCCCAGACCCUAGGGAUGUGCAAAGGCUGCUCAGCCCAAAGUCAGGGGUCCUGGGGUCCACCCCGCCACGUGACUGCAGGGAGGUCACUCGCAUUCUCUGAGCCAAAUAAAAAGACUGCAUUAGA